UACGUAGGGUGCGAGCGUUGUCCGGAAUUAUUGGGCGUAAAGAGCUCGUAGGCGGCCUGUCGCGUCGGAUGUGAAAGCCCGGGGCUUAACCCCGGGUCUGCAUUCGAUACGGGCAGGCUAGAGUUCGGUAGGGGAGAUCGGAAUUCCUGGUGUAGCGGUGAAAUGCGCAGAUAUCAGGAGGAACACCGGUGGCGAAGGCGGAUCUCUGGGCCGAUACUGACGCUGAGGCACGAAAGCGUGGGGAGCAAACAGG
rnacentral:rRNA from 1 species